rnacentral:tmRNA from 1 species
GGGGAUGUUUUGGAUUAGACAAGGCGAUUGUAAGAGUCGGGUUGCGAGUCGGAGAGCUGUUCUUCGUUACCAACGAGCCAGAAAACAUGUGCUGAAAACAAUGUAAUCGAUGCUAGAGCUGCUUUCGCAAGAGCUGAAAGAGCUGCUGCUUAAUCUAUAGAUUAGGUGGUCAUCCUCUCUAUAUGGCCAACUUGCCGUUGUAUAGGGACAAUUAUGCAAGUACAGUGCGUGUAAUGAGGGAUAAGCGCAUCAAGACCUUCCUCAAACUUGCGAUAGUAUAAACGAUAAGUACAGUUUUGGGUUAUUGGGUUUUCCUCACUGUAACGAAAAUUAAAAACACAUACACUCGUAGAUAUUCGCCUGUUACCGUUUUGGACGUGGGUUCGACCCCCACCAUCUCCACCA